AGCAGCCGCGGUAAUUCCAGCUCCAAUAGCGUAUAUUAAAGUUGUUGCAGUUAAAAAGCUCGUAGUUGAACUUCAGGCCUGUCCAGACGGUCCGCCUUAAUUGGUGUGUACUGUCCUUGGGUGGGUCCUACCUUCUGGCGAAGCGGCAUGGCCUUAAUUGGUUGUGUCGGGGAACCAGGACUUUUUACUGUGAAAAAUUAGAGUGUUCAAAGCAGGCAAAUAUGCUCGAAUACAUUAGCAUGGAAUAAUGGAAUAGGACGAUGGUUCUAUUUUGUUGGUUCUAGGACCGUUGUAAUGAUUAAUAGGGAUAGUUGGGGGCAUUAGUAUUCAAUUGUCAGAGGUGAAAUUCUUGGAUUUAUUGAAGACUAACUACUGCGAAAGCAUUUGCCAAGGAUGUUUUCAUUAAUCGAGAACGAAAGUUAGGGGAUCGAAGACGAUCAGAUACCGUCGUAGUCUUAACCAUAAACUAUGCCGACUAGGAAUCGGGCGAUGUUGACAAAAUGACUCGCUCGGCACCU
rnacentral:rRNA from 1 species